rnacentral:rRNA from 1 species
AGAGUUUGAUCAUGGCUCAGAUUGAACGCUGGCGGCAGGCUUAACACAUGCAAGUCGAGCGGGGGAAGGUAGCUUGCUACUGGACCUAGCGGCGGACGGGUGAGUAAUGCUUAGGAAUCUGCCUAUUAGUGGGGGACAACAUCUCGAAAGGGAUGCUAAUACCGCAUACGUCCUACGGGAGAAAGCAGGGGAUCUUCGGACCUUGCGCUAAUAGAUGAGCCUAAGUCGGAUUAGCUAGUUGGUGGGGUAAAGGCCUACCAAGGCGACGAUCUGUAGCGGGUCUGAGAGGAUGAUCCGCCACACUGGGACUGAGACACGGCCCAGACUCCUACGGGAGGCAGCAGUGGGGAAUAUUGGACAAUGGGCGCAAGCCUGAUCCAGCCAUGCCGCGUGUGUGAAGAAGGCCUUAUGGUUGUAAAGCACUUUAAGCGAGGAGGAGGCUACUUUAGAUAAUACCUAGAGAUAGUGGACGUUACUCGCAGAAUAAGCACCGGCUAACUCUGUGCCAGCAGCCGCGGUAAUACAGAGGGUGCAAGCGUUAAUCGGAUUUACUGGGCGUAAAGCGCGCGUAGGCGGCUAAUUAAGUCAAAUGUGAAAUCCCCGAGCUUAACUUGGGAAUUGCAUUCGAUACUGGUUAGCUAGAGUGUGGGAGAGGAUGGUAGAAUUCCAGGUGUAGCGGUGAAAUGCGUAGAGAUCUGGAGGAAUACCGAUGGCGAAGGCAGCCAUCUGGCCUAACACUGACGCUGAGGUGCGAAAGCAUGGGGAGCAAACAGGAUUAGAUACCCUGGUAGUCCAUGCCGUAAACGAUGUCUACUAGCCGUUGGGGCCUUUGAGGCUUUAGUGGCGCAGCUAACGCGAUAAGUAGACCGCCUGGGGAGUACGGUCGCAAGACUAAAACUCAAAUGAAUUGACGGGGGCCCGCACAAGCGGUGGAGCAUGUGGUUUAAUUCGAUGCAACGCGAAGAACCUUACCUGGCCUUGACAUAGUAAGAACUUUCCAGAGAUGGAUUGGUGCCUUCGGGAACUUACAUACAGGUGCUGCAUGGCUGUCGUCAGCUCGUGUCGUGAGAUGUUGGGUUAAGUCCCACAACGAGCGCAACCCUUUUCCUU